rnacentral:rRNA from 1 species
AGAGUUUGAUCCUGGCUCAGGACGAACGCUGGCGGCACGCUUAACACAUGCAAGUCGAACGAGAGAAGAGGAGCUUGCUUUUCUGAUCUAGUGGCGGACGGGUGAGUAACACGUGAGCAAUCUGCCUUUCAGAGGGGGAUACCGAUUGGAAACGAUCGUUAAUACCGCAUAACAUAAUUGAACCGCAUGAUUUGAUUAUCAAAGAUUUAUCGCUGAAAGAUGAGCUCGCGUCUGAUUAGCUAGUUGGUAAGGUAACGGCUUACCAAGGCGACGAUCAGUAGCCGGACUGAGAGGUUGAUCGGCCACAUUGGGACUGAGACACGGCCCAGACUCCUACGGGAGGCAGCAGUGGGGAAUAUUGCACAAUGGAGGAAACUCUGAUGCAGCGAUGCCGCGUGAGGGAAGAAGGUUUUAGGAUUGUAAACCUCUGUCUUCAGGGACGAAAAAAGACGGUACCUGAGGAGGAAGCUCCGGCUAACUACGUGCCAGCAGCCGCGGUAAUACGUAGGGAGCGAGCGUUGUCCGGAAUUACUGGGUGUAAAGGGAGCGUAGGCGGGAUCGCAAGUCAGAUGUGAAAACUAUGGGCUUAACCCAUAAACUGCAUUUGAAACUGUGGUUCUUGAGUGAAGUAGAGGUAAGCGGAAUUCCUAGUGUAGCGGUGAAAUGCGUAGAUAUUAGGAGGAACAUCAGUGGCGAAGGCGGCUUACUGGGCUUUAACUGACGCUGAGGCUCGAAAGCGUGGGGAGCAAACAGGAUUAGAUACCCUGGUAGUCCACGCCGUAAACGAUGAUUACUAGGUGUGGGGGGACUGACCCCUUCCGUGCCGCAGCAAACGCAAUAAGUAAUCCACCUGGGGAGUACGACCGCAAGGUUGAAACUCAAAGGAAUUGACGGGGGCCCGCACAAGCAGUGGAGUAUGUGGAUUAAUUCGAAGCAACGCGAGGAACCUUACCAGGUCUUGACAUCGUAUGCAUAGCUCAGAGAUGAGUGAAAUCUCUUCGGAGACAUAUAGACAGGUGGUGCAUGGUUGUCGUCAGCUCGUGUCGUGAGAUGUUGGGUUAAGUCCCGCAACGAGCGCAACCCUUACUGUUAGUUGCUACGCAAGAGCACUCUAGCAGGACUGCCGUUGACAAAACGGAGGAAGGUGGGGAUGACGUCAAAACAUCAUGCCCCUUAUGACCUGGGCCUCACACGUACUACAAUGGCUGUCAACAGAGGGAAGCAAAGCCGCGAGGUGGAGCGAACCCCUAAAAGCAGUCUUAGUUCGGAUUGUAGGCUGCAACCCGCCUACAUGAAGUCGGAAUUGCUAGUAAUCGCAGAUCAGCAUGCUGCGGUGAAUACGUUCCCGGGCCUUGUACACACCGCCCGUCACGCCAUGGGAGUCGGUAACACCCGAAGCCUGUAGUCUAACCGCAAGGAGGACGCAGUCGAAGGUGGGAUUGAUGACUGGGGUGAAGUCGUAACAAGGUA